CUUUGAUGGAUUUGUAAGUGAGCAAAUGGGUGAACUCUAUGAGGCAGUGAACUGAGCAAUCAGCUGCCAACUAGGCUCUGUUACAGUUACACCUCUAGGUUAGUGUCUCUGCACGUUCUUUUGGCGCUUGCACCUGAGCAUACGAGGCUGCGUUAUCCACUUGAGAGUAACAGAGAGCUGUGCCUGAAUCCACUGUUGUCACGGAGCUAAAGGCAGUGAAUUCUGCUAAAAUGACGCUGGUGUUGCUGCUGUCACUGCUCAUUGACCCCUGUCUGUCGCUGCUGUCGCUGCUCAUUGACCCCCGUCGCAUGGUCUCAAUCACUACCCCCCGUUGAGGCGGUAACGCCUCACCCUUAACAACAUACUGGCCAGAAAAGGAGGCUGAGGACAUCACCAUCCGCCGUGCGCAGGGGAUCACACAGCAGGCCACCAGAGCCAUAAGGAGAAGGAGGACGAACAGGGACGCUCCCAAGCGGGUCAGGGUAGCAGUCCAAUCUCCAGAAAGAAACCAGGAGAGCCACGGCGGGAGGCGGAGACUAG
ensembl:lncRNA